rnacentral:lncRNA from 1 species
UGCUCGAUGGUCGCCGCUGGUUGAGGUUUGUCCUUCUCUGGUUCUCAUGUUCUUCGCCGCUGCUUUGGAUUUGUCGUCCUAAUUUCGCAUGUUUGCCUUUGUUUCGUUCAUGCGCGGUUUGGUACGGUUUCCUGUUGUCGCCUACGUCGAGCCUUGGGUCCGUCCCUCCUUCGCAUUGAGGUUAGUCCACUCCUCUUGUGCUUGCCUAUGGAAUGUUUGAUGAAAUGCGUGUGUGCUGACGCUUGUUCUACGGUUCAACCUACUUCUCCUGUCGCUGGCACUUCUUCUUCUCGUCCAUCCUGCUGCUUACCCAACGUGCUUCUGCUUGCUGCCUAGGGUAAAUAGGCCGCUCUGUUGCUUCUGUGACCGGCAAGUGUUCAUUGCAUGCCCGUGUGUCAUUGCGCUCCGACCGCUUGAUUUCUGUGUAUUUUGCAGGUUGUACGAUUUCUUCUGUCGCUGUGUCGUUCGACUCGUCAAGGUUUUCUUCUUUCCUUUCUACUACAUGUGUGCGUGUUUUACUUUCAGUAUCUUCUACGUCAUGGUGUCUACCUUAGUGAUCUUUUAAAUAUUUGUAUGUCGUGUUGAUCGUUUAAAAGUUUCGGAUAUGGUCAGAGGUUGUGUGUUGUUCGUUCUUGUGCUACUUAUAUUUUGUGUAUGCGUGCGAGCAGGAUGUGUACGCUGUUUCUGUUGUUAUACCUUCUUUGGAGGUCGUGGUAGCUCGAUGCGCUUUGCGCCGCUUUCAUAUUUGUGUGUGGUCGCAGAGGAUGGCUCUGUUCUUCCUGGUGUAGAACUCGAGCUCCUAGUGGGACAGUUCUGGCCCUAUGGAGAAGCUUGAUGAAGAAGCCGAGGCGCAGCUACUUUCAACCCUCAUGCUAUAUACCCAUAGAUACACAUGUCUCCCACUUUUGGUUUUGUCUCACGCACGAGGCGAGUUCCGGUGGUAAAGCUGAAACUUCAUCGCCUACUGUUGGAGAAAAGGAUGAUAACAAUGACCAAGCUCAGAUGAUAACAAUGACCUGGGAAUUCUUUUGUGUACACUCAUGGUACUCUGAAUAAUUGCUGCAGAAUGAAGUGGCGAGCAUAAAAGAAAUGCCGAGCCAGUUUCCCUCAAAUGCAGUGUAUUGUUACACUGACUCUGAGGAUAGACAACAGUCUACUGAGGUUGGUUAUUGCAAUUAAAAGGUUUUACUAUAUAUCUUACUUCCUUAGGCUUGGUUUGUCUAACGCAUGCUCUUGGUUAAUCUUGAUCAUUCCGUGAGUUAGAUCAAGUAACAACAAACUAAAUUGUAGUUUCUGUUGCUAUGACCUGGGCAAUGAACAAUAGAUAUAGUUUGCCUCAUUUCUAAUGUUCCCUGUAAACACUGUUGUGAAUGGAACAGCUUGAAUUGAUCACUGCUUAAAUAUGCACUGGAAUUCCUUUUUUUAGAUAUAAUUUCCUACUCCCUCCGUUCGGAAAUACUUGUCGCAGAGAUGGAUAUAUCUAGACGUAUUUAAGUUCUAGAUACAUUUAUUUUUAUCUAUUUCCCCAACAAGUAUUUCCGGACGGAGGGAGUACAAUACAUUUGUUGCUUCAUAGAAUGUCAGAUGGUUGCCUUCAGUAAUGUCGGCUAUUUAUAGUGGGCGUCUUGCUAUGCCUAUUUUUUGCUGUAGCAGCCUAGCAGGCAUGGUUUAACCAUAGGCUUCCGGUUAUUCUAUGUUUUGGAUGUCAAAUAAAUAGGACAUUUUAGGCUAUGCCUAACAUUCUUUUCAUACUCUGCAAAUUAAUAGACCAUUUAAAAACCACAUGCUACUCCACCAAUGGUGAAAAUCCCCUACAGAAUGAUGUUGGAUGUCCUUUUAGAAUCUUUGGGCCUGCCAGAGGCUGAGUAUCGAACCAAAGUAUGCGUAUGCGAGGGUGGUUCGAAGUUACGAAGAACCCCAUUUUCGUUCAGAUAUGCACGCCUUUUUGCAAUCCGGAGUCUUUGCAUUUAGGUUUAUAUUAUUGAUUCAGGUUUAGUUGUUUAGAUCAAAACUGUAAUCUUGCAUGUAGAUUGGGCAGAUUAUUUCUCACUUCGAGGACUCUGUUUUGUUCAUCGGAAAGUUUUUUCCAGUGCCCCGAGAACUUUGCUCUGAUGUUCUUCCCAAAAUGAAUUGAAAUUACUACGAUUCAUGCAAGUUACUUGGCAAAGAAAAUUGUUCUGUGCAUAGUGGAUACAUGUACUAUUUGGAUAGUGGAUACAUGUAUUGAUUGUAGAUUCUUUUACUUAUCUGAGGCAAGUAUUCUAUUUUAUCAAUCUAUCAUUCAGAUGUGGCUAGGUUUUUCUGUUAUCCGAAAACACACAUUAUAUUGCCUUUGUUUUUACAGAAAGAUGUAGAUGUUGAGAAGUAUAUUAUUUUGAUUGCUGAGUCGGUUUAUUGUGUAACUUUGGGUUUUGUCUUUUGUGUGGAUACAUUUGUAAAGAAGUGACAUGGCUUAUAUUAAAUUUUGUCAUUGUAUAGGGAGUAAAGGUGGGAGAACAAAUGAGUUGUUGAAGUCCGAUGAGAUUAUAUAGCAGAUUGACUCUUUGUAGUGCUCGUUCAGAUGUAGGCCAGGCAGUAUACUGCCUUUGUUUUUUUACAUCAAGGUGUAAAUGUUAAGAAGUAUAUUAUUCUUAUUGUCUUUACCGCAUGUGUAUGCUCGUAACUAAAACAACUAAUACAUGUUUUUGUACAAUGCGCACAUGGAUUCAAAAAGAUAGAUGUAUUUUCAGCGGCAUGAUUUUGAAUGGGGCUUUGUGCUACCAAAUUAGAAUGUGUAUAUACAUCUCAUUAUAGACAAUAAAAUACUGUAGAUUCAUACUAAAGGGGAUUAGAUUUGUUACAUAGAUUUUGUUUCAUAUAAAAUACUAUGCUACCAAAUUUAAAGGUGUAUGUACAUCCAUUGUAGACAACAAGUCCUCG